UACGUAGGGUGCAAGCGUUGUUCGGAUUUACUGGGCGUAAAGGGCGCGUAGGCGGCGUGACAAGUCACUUGUGAAAUCUCCGGGCUUAACUCGGAACGGUCAAGUGAUACUGUCGUGCUAGAGUACAGAAGGGGCAACUGGAAUUCUCGGUGUAGCGGUGAAAUGCGUAGAUAUCGAGAGGAACACCUGCGGCGAAGGCGGGUUGCUGGGCUGAUACUGACGCUGAGGCGCGAAAGCCAGGGGAGCGAACGGG
rnacentral:rRNA from 1 species